rnacentral:lncRNA from 1 species
UGUGUGUGUUAUGUACGUUAUGUGUGUGUGUUGUAUGUAUUAUAUUUGUGGGUGUGUCGUGAGUUGUGUGUGUUAUGAGUUGUGUGUGUGUGAUGUGUGUUGUGUAUGAUGUGUGUGUGUAUUGUGUGUUGUUUGUUGUUUAUGUUGUGUGUGUGUUGUGACUUGUGUGUGUGUUGUGUGUUGUGUAUGUUACGUCUGUGUGUUGUGUGUUGUGUGUGUGUUAUGAGUUCUGUGUGUGAUGUGUGUGGGUGUUGUAUGUUGUUUGUUGUGUAUAUGUGUGUGUGUUUUAUGUGUGUGAGUGUUAUGAGUUUUGUGUGUGUGUGCUGUGUGUUGUGUUUGAGUGUAGUUGUGUUAUACGUGUUGUGUGUGUGUGGGUAUUGUGUGUUGUUUGUUGUGUAUAUGUGAGUGUGUUGUAUGUGAGUGUUUUGUGUGUAUGUGUCUAUGUUGUGUGCAUGUGUGAGUUGUGUUUGUGUAUGUGUAUUGUGAGUUGUUUAUAUGUUAUGAGCGUAGGUGUGUUAUGAGUGUUGUGUGUGGGUGUUGUGUAUUAUUUGUUAUGUAUGUUGUGUGUGUGUGUGCGCGUGUAUUGUGUUUGUAUACGUAUAUGUGCCGUGUUGUGUGUAAGUGUAUGUGUUGGGUAUGUUAUAUGUGUAUUUGUUAUGUGUUGUGUGUGUAUGUGUAUUGUGUAUGUCUUUGUGUGUUGUUUUUGUGUGUAUUGUUUAUUGUGUAUGUUAUGUGUGUGUGUAUAGUAGUGUGUGUUGUUAUGAGUUGUGUGUGUUGUGUGUGUGUAUUGUAUGUUAUGUGUGUGUGUGUGUGUGUUAUAUGUGUAUGUGUAUUGUGUCUAGUGUGUGUUGUUUAUGUUUGUCUUUAGGAUGUAUUGUUAUAAGUUGUGUGUGUGUAGUGUGUAUUGUUAUGAGUUGUAUGUGUGUUGUGAGUUGUGUGUGCUGUGUAUGUUAUAUGUGUGUGUUAUGAGUUGUGUGUAUGUGUGUGUGUUGUGUGUAUGUUAUAUGUGUGUUGUU